AUGCUUUACUACUUGGCUUUACCGCUCUAUCUUCUGCUUGUUUACUCAGGCUUUGUUCAAGGUGAUGCUGUGUUUCAGACUCUUCCGGAGGUGACAGUCUCAGAGGGACACGAUGUAUUAUUACCGUGUAAUUUCACCACCAUUUCUAACACCCCGAAACUUUUCUGGUACCGCCAGUAUCCGAACCAACCACCCCAGCAUAUACUGACAGCCUAUAAAUCUGCUGCUGAGAAGAACACGUUCACCUCUGGAAAGUUCUCAACCGUUUUGAUCGACGAUAAUAAGACGGUUCCCUUGAAGAUCGGGGCUGUGUCGCUGCAAGACAGAGCC